rnacentral:rRNA from 1 species
CGUGUAGGCGGCCAGGUAGGUCCGUUGUGAAAACUCGAGGCUCAACCUCGAGACGCCGGCGGAAACCCUUUGGCUAGAGUCCGGAAGAGGAGAGUGGAAUUCCUGGUGUAGCGGUGAAAUGCGCAGAUAUCAGGAAGAACACCCGUGGCGAAGGCGGCUCUCUGGGACGGCACUGACGCUGAGACGCGAAAGCGUGGGGAAGCAAACA